UACGUAGGGUGCGAGCGUUAAUCGGAAUUACUGGGCGUAAAGCGUGCGUAGGCGGUCUGUUAAGUCUGGUGUGAAAUCCCCGGGCUUAACCUGGGAAUGGCGCUUGUUACUGGCAGACUAGAGUACGUCAGAGGGGGGUGGAAUUCCACGUGUAGCAGUGAAAUGCGUAGAGAUGUGGAGGAACACCGAUGGCGAAGGCAGCCCCCUGGGAUGAUACUGACGCUCAGGCACGAAAGCGUGGGGAGCAAACAGG
rnacentral:rRNA from 1 species